GACGAUAAGACCCUAAAAUCUUUAGUUUAGGCUGGCUGGGUUAAGUAAGGGUUAUUAAACUUUGUCUGUAAAACUUUAGCUGGGGUAGUACUAAAAUUAAUUUUUUAAAUUUAUUCUUAUUUGGUUAAAGAUUCUUUAAUAUUAGGAUUUUAGAUAAGUUACUUUAGGGAUAACAGCGUGAUAAUACUGAAAAGAACAUAUUUAUAGUAUUGAUUACGACCUCGAUGUUGAAUUAAUAAAUCUUUUUAAAGCAGAUUUUAAAGAAGAAGGUUUGUUCAACCUUUAAUUUAUUACAUGAUCUGAGU
rnacentral:rRNA from 1 species